rnacentral:miRNA from 15 species
GCACGAGCUCAACGUGCAAAAC